CCUACGGGGUGCUGCAGUGGGGGAUAUUGCACAAUGGGGGAAACCCUGAUGCAGCGACGCCGCGUGGGUGAAGAAGCGCCUCGGCGCGUAAAGCCCUGUCAGCAGGGAAGAAAAGGACGGUACCUGAAGAAGAAGCCCCGGCUAACGACGUGCCAGCCGCCGCGGUAAUCCGUAGGGGGCAAGCGUUAUCCGGAUUGACUGGGUGUAAAGGGGGCGCAGACGGCGAGGCAAGCCAGGAGUGAAAGCCCGGGGCCCAACCCCGGGACUGCUCGUGGAACUGCGUGGCGAGCGUGCAGGAGGGGCAGGCGGACUUCCUGUUGUCGCGGUGACCUGCGUCGAUAUCAGGUGGAACCCCGGUGGCGAUGGCGGCCUGCUUGACUGCACCUGCCGUUGAGGCCCG
rnacentral:rRNA from 1 species